GUGGGGAAUUUUGGACAAUGGGCGCAAGCCUGAUCCAGCCAUGCCGCGUGCGGGAAGAAGGCCUUCGGGUUGUAAACCGCUUUCGGACGGAAAGAAAUCGCUUGGGUUAAUACCCUGAGUGGAUGACGGUACCGUAAGAAGAAGCACCGGCUAACUACGUGCCAGCAGCCGCGGUAAUACGUAGGGUGCGAGCGUUAAUCGGAAUUACUGGGCGUAAAGCGUGCGCAGGCGGAUUGUUAAGCAAGAUGUGAAAUCCCCGGGCUUAACCUGGGAAUGGCAUUUUGAACUGGCAGUCUGGAGUGCGGCAGAGGGGGGUGGAAUUCCACGUGUAGCAGUGAAAUGCGUAGAGAUGUGGAGGAACACCGAUGGCGAAGGCAGCCCCCUGGGCCUGCACUGACGCUCAUGCACGAAAGCGUGGGGAGCAAACAGGAUUAGAAACCCCAGUAGUCC
rnacentral:rRNA from 1 species